rnacentral:rRNA from 1 species
GACGAACGCUGGCGGCGUGCCUAAUACAUGCAAGUCGAACGCAGUGGGGACGGGUGAGUAACACGUGGGUAACCUCCAAUCAGAGGGGAUAACACUUGGCAACAGGUGCAAAACCGAUACUGAAGGAUGAACCCGCGGGGCAUUAGCGAGUUGGUGCGGUAACGGCUCACCAAGGCCACGAUGAAUAGCCGACCUAAGAGGAUGAUCGGCCACACUGGGACUGAGACACGGUCCAAAGUCUGACGGGAGGCAGAAGUAGGGAAUCGUCGGCAAUGGACGGAAGUCUGCCCGAGCAACGCCGCGUGAGUGAAGAAGGUUUUCGGAGCGUAAAACUCUGUUGUUAGAGAAGCGUUAUCUAACCAGAAAGCCACGGCUCACUACGUGCCAGCCGCCGCGGUAAUAC